rnacentral:rRNA from 1 species
GCAAGCCUGAUCCAGCCAUGCCGCGUGAGUGAUGAAGGCCCUAGGGUUGUAAAGCUCUUUCACCGGUGAAGAUAAUGACGGUAACCGGAGAAGAAGCCCCGGCUAACUUCGUGCCAGCAGCCGCGGUAAUACGAAGGGGGCUAGCGUUGUUCGGAAUUACUGGGCGUAAAGCGCACGUAGGCGGAUUGUUAAGUGAGGGGUGAAAUCCCAGGGCUCAACCCUGGAACUGCCUUUCAUACUGGCAAUCUAGAGUCCAGAAGAGGUGAGUGGAAUUCCGANUGUAGAGGUGAAANUNGUNGAUAUUNGGAGGAACACCAGUGGCGAAGGCGGCUCACUGGUCUGGCUAC